ACGAAAUUCAUUGGAAUUAAAUGACAGAUAAAAAAAACAAUAAACAAUCCUUAUAUAGCCAAAAUUCGUUCAGAAAACAAAGGGCAAAUUCGACAACACCGGGGCCUUCUCUUCUUCCUCGCCUUUUCUUCUUCUUCUUCUUCUUCUUCUUCCUCUUCUUCCUCUCUCUGAGUUUUUUUCGGUUGACGAAGGAAUCAAAGCUGCAAGAAUGUCGAGGGAAUGACGGGUCAAGAUCUUGAUUUGGUGGUCCAGCCAGCAUCAACAAGGGCGGCGUGGAGAAUUGGGAGCUUUUGUACUCACAAAAACCCUAACCAUCGCCGCUGUGUUCUCCGGAUUCGGCGAUCUGAUUCCGUGGUUGAUCGCACUCGCCUUCUUCUUCGCCAGAUGGUUUAUCAAGACCGGUCUAGGUAACAUAAUUGCUUACCAAUUCGUCUCCCUGUUCGAUAGCUCGUCGCCGGUUUUGGGGUACAGUCUGGUGUUUAGUGAGGCGCUUUUAGCACCGGACAUUCCGUCAGUUUUGGUAAGAGCUGGUGGGAUUUUCUUGCGGCUGGUUAAGUCUUUGUGCAUUGCAUGUGGUAGCAAUGUCAGAGAUGGGACAGAGCACAAAUUGGGAUCCUGGCUGAUGGGACGAAGCACAAGUUGGGAUCUAGUCUAGGUAACAUAAUCUCUUACCAAUUCGUCUCCCUGUUCGAUUGCUCGUCGCUGGGUUUGGGGAACAGUUUGGUGUUUUACUGAGGCGCUCUUAGCGCCGGCCAUUCCGUCGAUUUCGGCAAGAGCUUGUGGGAUUUUCUUGACGAUGGUUAAGUCUUUGUGCGUUUCAUGUGGUAGCAAUGUUGUAAUGGGACGAAGCACAAGUUGGGAUCCUGGCUCAUGCUUACUUGCUUUCAGACUUCGAUGAUUUCUUCAACGAUGUUCUUGACGACAAUGGCAGCUAAUCCGCUUAGUGCGACGUUGACUUUCAAUACGAUUUAGCAGACAAUUGGGUGGACUGAUUGAGCCAAGGCCGCCAUUGUUCGUGGAUUAGUAUCGUUGAUUGUGGUCCCUUUCCUUUUGUAUCUGAUUUACCCGCCAUCGGUGAAGUCCAUUCCUGAUGAACCUAAGCUUGCUAAGGAAAAGUUGGAGAAGAUGGGGCCAAUGAGCACCAACGAGAUUGUUAUGUCUGAGACACUUCUUCUUACGGUUGGACUUUGGAUUUUUGGAGGGAUGUUGAAUGUGGAUGCUGUGACUGCUGCAAUUGUUAUUGAGAUGUAUAUGUUUCUCAUUCAUUGUCAAAAUAGAGCAUUCUUAUGUUGAGAAGUAAUAACUCUGUUUGUGUGUGUAUGUUUACCAUGGUAUAUAUCAUUUAAAUCUAAACCCAUGCUCCAUUUUUACUUGAUA